CCCUGGGGAAAUGUUUACGCGGUUCCUGGUUGCUUAGAAUGUGUUGAUCAAUUUAUUAAUAAUUGAAAUAAGGUUUUUCAAGAGACAAUGACCAUUCCUCGAGAUCGCUGAUACUGUUAUCGAGAAAACAGUCUCUUUAAGAAAAGUGUAUCACGUAUAAAUCUAGAGAAGAUAGACUAUGAUAUCUCAAUCUACCAGACAAAUGAGUAAGCUCGCUUAAGGAAUAUUAUUAAGGGUCAAGAAUUUUUCAUCCUUUUCAUGUGGGAAUCAUCCAAAGAAUUUUUCAAGGAAUCAAUCAAUCUGAACAUAUAAGUUUAGAGUGUGUGUGUGUAUUAUCUAGCAAAGCUAAACCUUAAUAUAUUAGGCAGGUCCUACGAAUAUCAAUGUGAUUUCACAGCCAAGGCAACAAAUCUGAUGAAAUCCGAAAUUUACAUGAAUAUCCAACAAUCCAUUUAUAGAUUUAAUAUCUCAUCCAGAAACGGGAAAAUUAACAUUACCUUACAUUGUAUACCUAAUUGAGGCCACCGUUUCAGGCCAAACAAGGAAAUUUAUCUACAGGAAUACGCAAAGGAGGAUGUUCACUCUGCUAUAAAUUAGUUCCACCAUGAUGCAAUUCCUCUGCACGGACAAUGGAAAAUACCUCGAUGAAAUUGAGUCUCUCGGUCAUCUUCUUUCUCAUCACAACUGGUACGUUGUUGAAGAUGCCAGGAGCAGAUGCAAGGGCACCAGCUCGCUGUCCUCGGAUGAUUGACUGCAGCUCGGUGUGUCAGGGGUUCCCCUACAAGUGCAUUGACGGCGAGUGCAUCUGUGGUAAAGAGGUUAUUCCCUGGUCACCUGCUUCAAUCCAGCUACAAAUUAGACAACUGAAGCGAUGAUUCCAGAUGGGCAUGGGACGUGCAAAGUAUCUUUAAAAUAAUAUUAGUUUUCUGAAGAAAUUGAGCCUUAAUUUGUUCUCACUACUAGUUAUCCUCUUCUCUUCUACAGAUGAGUUGAAAGAAUCAAUUGCGGAAAAAGCAAAAUAUCUCUCUUAUUUAGAU